AUGGCUGAUAAUACCAAGUUCCUCCGUUUGUUUCUCCUCUUGAGCAGCUCACCACUGUGUUUUGGUACUGAACAAGAUAUCCGGUGCCUGAUGUCUGUACAAGGCUCAUUGGCUGAUCCGGGCGGUGUACUCAGAUCUUGGAACUUUGAAAAUGAAACCAACGGUUACAUAUGCCGCUUUACUGGUGUGGAAUGCUGGCACCCCGACGAGAACAAGAUUCUCUCUCUGCGACUAGGCAACCUGGGACUUCAAGGCCAAUUUCCUGUUGCUCUACAGAAUUGUUCAAGCCUGACCGGCUUGGACCUGUCAAAUAACAAUUUUUCAGGACCAAUCCCUCGGGACAUUUCACAGGUGAUGCCGUAUCUGACAUCUCUGGACCUUUCGUACAAUAGCUUUUCGGGUUCGAUCCCACAGAAUAUCUCAAAUAUGACAUAUCUGAAUAUCCUCAACCUUCAGCAUAACCAGCUCAGCGGUCAAAUUCCACCGCAAUUCACUUUGCUUACUCGGUUAACCGCAUUCAAUGUCGCGGACAACUUGUUAUCAGGGCCUAUUCCUUCUUUGCUACAAAACUAUUCGGCUUCGAACUUUGCUGGUAACCAAGGGCUUUGUGGUUCACCGUUGGAUGAUUGUCCCCCCUCGAGGAGGAGAUGGAGACCGGUACAAAUCAAGCUGCACAGGCUCAACGACCAGUCAAGCAUCGGAGUGGCCGUCGGAUUCGUGGUGGGGUUCGUGGUGGCCUUCUACUUCCCGCACUGCUUCGUCUGCUCCGAGAGGCUCCGAGCCUACGUCGUCCGCAUAUGA
rnacentral:rRNA from 1 species